AUCCCCAAUCCAUUCAAACCAGGUUAAUAGAACAUAGAGUUUCAGUCUAAAGUCUCUGGAAGACUCUAAGGAGCAUUGUUUGCCUUUCUGUUCAUUUUCUCCUUUUGAAUUCCACCUAGAUGAAGCAGAGGCUUGAGAUAGCACAGAGCAAAAUGGAACGAAAACAGACAUACACCUGAUUUCUUAGGCCUCUUGAAAAUUAAUGGGCAGGAAGGUUUAACUUGUUCAGAGUGGACUAUUGACAUUAUAAAGGUGUAAUUGCUGAGAAUAUCCUUAGGCAUUAGUUUUAACCUUGUGAUUAUACUGUAGGACUUUUACGCUCCUUGACCCUAGAAGGAGUGUCCAGGUGGGGGACAUCUGAGCUCAUCUUUGUCCAGGUGCACCUCCUAUCAUCAGUGAAUGCUCUGAAGUGGGAAGGAGAAGUUCAGAGUGCUGAUGGUCACAGAGAUCUUCAAUUCCUGAAUCCUAUCACCUUCUCUUCACAACAACUUGGAGAAGAUCCAGAGAGUUGUGGACCCACGGAGGAGACAUCUGAAGAAUAAGCUGUGGCGAUUCAUGCAAGAUCAUUUAAGUACCUAAUGCACAAGACUGGGAUUUGAGGCCAGGUCUGGGCGUCUCAGGAGCCCACCUACUUAAGAAUGUGCAGUCUCUGACAUGAGUCUCAGCCUUCCAAGCUCUGUUUAAAUGGAUGCUGAAGCUGUCUCAGGGUUGGCUAAUCCUCACAACCUUCCUGGGAGUCAUUUAAGCUCACGCUAUGGUUUAGCGCAGUAUCCUACAAAUGGUGUGCGGAAAUACCACCUCCUACAGCUUAAAUUUUAAAUCCACCGUUGUAGACGCCCAUCUGAAGUGAGAAAGCAAAGCGCUAUUUUGGACCAUGAAUGUUCUCGCCUGAUGUGUCUUUCCGUACGAGGCCCGAUCUGUCUGUGAUUCUCCGAAAGGGAGACAUGUCGUGAGGACAUGGCUAUGCCUUACAGCUAAAAGGAGUUUGAGGAGGAAGAAGGUAAUGAAGAGUUCAGUUCUCGUCUCGAAAGUUCAUGCGUUCCUGAUGCCAUCAUCCAGACAGUGGCUGCCCCUUGUGUUUCCUAGAGGGACAAUAUGUGGAUUGCGGGCAGCAGGAGGUGGCACAUUAAGAUGCCAUGGAGUUCAACCAGAGUUUUGCUUCUGUCAUUAAAAUAAAUCUGAAAUCACUCUCCUUCUAUAUCUACCAUAUUAAGCUGACUUGGACGGAUUUGAGUAAAUCAUUACUAAAAGGGUUGGGAAUUUCAUGUUUUUCUGGUCUGCAGGCAAAAAAGUUUUGUUAGUGAUUCAGAAGAGGGCUUUUAGUUUUUCUGUGAAUCCUCCAGAUGGUAAUUCUGUGCAAUGAUGGGAAAUGAAAUUUCUGACCCUGGGAAUUUCAUCUGUGCCACGGUUAAAUCACUUUCAUGCUAUUGCUUUAGGGAGGUUCCAAAAGUCCUUUUCCUGAGUUUUUAAUAGAUCCCUUUCCCACAAUUAU
rnacentral:lncRNA from 1 species